AACGAACGCUGGCGGCAUGCCUAACACAUGCAAGUCGAACAAGACCUUCGGGUCUAGUGGCGCACGGGUGCGUAACGCGUGGGAACCUGCCUUUAGGUUCGGAAUAACUCAGAGAAAUUUGAGCUAAUACCGGAUAAUGUCUUCGGACCAAAGAUUUAUCGCCUUUAGAUGGGCCCGCGUUGGAUUAGCUAGUUGGUGGGGUAAAGGCCUACCAAGGCGACGAUCCAUAGCUGGUCUGAGAGGAUGAUCAGCCACACUGGGACUGAGACACGGCCUAGACUCCUACGGGAGGCAGCAGUGGGGAAUAUUGGACAAUGGGCGAAAGCCUGAUCCAGCAAUGCCGCGUGAGUGAUGAAGGCCUUAGGUUGUAAGCUCUUUUACCCGAGAUGAUAAUGACAGUAUCGGGAGAAUAAGCUCCGGCUAACUCCGUGCCAGCAGCCGC
rnacentral:rRNA from 1 species